rnacentral:lncRNA from 1 species
AUGGAUUUGUUUGAAAUAAAACGAAACUCUGCACCACUGCUGCCCAGUUCCUGGCACAGCCCCCAGGUGCCCACAGCCGGGCUUUGCCCUCCGGGAGCCGUUACCCGCGGCUUCGUGUCCCGCUUUAUCGCCUGGGUUCUCUACCGCGUGUUGGCUUCGUGCGAGUCCGGGGGAACGCGGGGAGAGAGGGCGGGAGGAGGAGCGCGUCCGCGGGGCAUCGACCGGAGCCGGGCAGCCGCUGACCCGCCUGAGUCAACAGCGGUGAUCCAUCGGCCUUUCUCCGAAACGCGGCGGGGGAAGGGGGCAGGGGGGAUCUUCGCGGAGUCUCCCCUCGGCUCGAGGAGCCGCUGCGCCGCGUCACAGCGGGUUCGUGCCUCCCUAAAGCUGGGUAACAGCGGAGCAAACACCGCACGAAGCGAGAGGCGCCGCUGCCGCUGUUCGGCUCCGGCAAGUGUUCUCCGCCGUGACACGUGUGGGAGCAUCGCCGUGGGCAGUGCAAAGCAUUCCCACAGCCCCUUUCCCCUCGGGCCGGGUCUCUGCUGGAGUCACACCGGGCACGGAGCAGCGCCAGCAGGGCAGCCCGGCCGCUCCGGGAUAGGGCAGCACCGGCCGUUCCAUCCCGCGGGGACGGGAACACGCGUGGGACGCGGGAGCCCCAUUUCCAACCGGGGCGAUGCGGGAUCUCCCGCCCCGAAAGGUUCUCACCGCACCCGGAGCCCAGCAGGGCUGUGGAUUUGCGGGGUGUCGGGCAGGUGGUUGGCACAUUUCCGUGCCGACGCCCCAGGUCCCCGCGGAGCUCGCACUGCGGGUGGGCAGCGGACAGAACCGCGGCUGACGCGGGAGCCCGCUCCCAACAUCCCGGUCCCGCGAGGGGCUGCCCGCAGCCCGGCGAUCGCGUCCUCGGCGGGAGAAAAGCUGCCGAGGCACUUUACACCGUGCGGCAAAAGCUUCCGUGCCACACCGCUUUUUCCUAUUUGUUUGCCCGUUGGCUACUUCAUGCCGAACUAG